UACGUAGGGGGCAAGCGUUGUCCGGAAUUACUGGGCGUAAAGCGCCUGUAGGCGGGAACGUGCGUCGGACGUGAAAGGCGGGGGCUUAACCCCCGAGCGGCGUUCGAAACGGCGUUUCUUGAGGGUCGAAGAGGAGCGUGGAAUUCCAGGUGUAGCGGUGAAAUGCGUAGAUAUCUGGAGGAACACCGGUGGCGAAGGCGGCAUCCUGGACCGACACUGACGCUCAUGCACGAAAGCGUGGGGAGCAAACAGG
rnacentral:rRNA from 1 species